CGGGCGGACGGGUGAGGAACACGUGGGUAAUCUGCCCUUUGCAGAGGGAUAACAUCAAGAAAUUGGUGCUAAUACCUCAUAAGCUCCCGUUAUGGCAUCAUAAAGGGAGAAAAGAUUAAUCGGCAAAGAAGGGGCCCGCGGCUGAUUAGCUAGUUGGAGAGGUAACGGCUCACCAAGGCGACGAUCAGUAGCCGACCUGAGAGGGUGAUCGGCCACAUUGGAACUGAGAGACGGUCCAAACUCCUACGGAAGGCAGCAG
rnacentral:rRNA from 1 species